rnacentral:tRNA from 1 species
AGCCCUGAGGUGUCAAACACGUGAGAUUGCAAAUCUCAAGUGGCCGAUUAGUGUCGGCCGGGGCUUCCCCCC